UACGUAGGUGGCAAGCGUUGUCCGGAUUUACUGGGCGUAAAGAGCGCGCAGGCGGUCGUUCAAGUCGCGUGUGAAAGCCCCCGGCUCAACUGGGGAGGGUCACGCGAUACUGAUCGACUCGAAGGCAGGAGAGGGUAGUGGAAUUCCCGGUGUAGUGGUGAAAUGCGUAGAUAAUCGGGAGGAACACCAGUGGCGAAAGCGGCUACCUGGCCCAUUCUUGACGCUGAGGCGCGAAAGCUAGGGGAGCAACGGG
rnacentral:rRNA from 1 species